rnacentral:lncRNA from 1 species
AGGGGGUGAAUUGUAACAUCCCGGGUUGUGAUAUAUGGAAAGGUUUAAGAGAAUUGAUUUGGCUACCUAUGGAAAAGGUCGGGUGGUGAUUGCAGGGUCAGUAAACAAUGAUUUCGAGCCUUCAGAAAUUAACGGACCGACCGUCGGAUGGGAUGAGGCCCACGGGACUAAUUAAUGAAUCAAUUUAGAAAAUAAUAAUUUAUCUUCAUUAGAAUUUUAACCCAAAAAUGAAUAUCAUUACAGAGGAACCAAUGGGUACACCGGAAAAACAGCAAUUACUAAAUUACAAAAAGAGAAUGCUUAAUCUAAAUCGUAAGAUAUCACAACAACAUAAAUAAGGCCAUGGAAAAGAAAGACCGAGGAGCAAGAUGUUGUAACAUUCCGGGUUGUGAUAUAUGGAAAAGAUUAAGAGAAUUGAUUUAGCUACCUAUGUCACCAAAGUUGACUUACCUUUUCCGGAGCACAUCCUGAAAUAACUUCAGAGUUAAGCGUGCUUGAGUUGGAGUAGUAGAAGGAUGAGUGACCUAUCGGGAAGUGAUUCGCGAUAGCGUGCGAGUGAGGCCAAAGCAUGGGAAAAGGUCGGGUGGUGAUUGCAGGGUCAGUAAACAAUAAUUUCGAGCCUUCAGAAAUUAACGGACCGACCGUCGGAUGGGAUGGGGCCCACGGACCGAGAGAACGGGCGUGGGUGGCCCAUUAGCCGUGGACGGUCGGGGCGUUAUAAGUGGUAUCAGAGCCAGGUUAGCCAUCUCGGUUCCGACCCGAGAGACGUCUUGAGACCUGUCGUGGGCGCAACGAGGACGUUGCGUUCUGUGAGAGGGGGUGAAUUGUAACAUCCCGGGUUGUGAUAUAUGGAAAGGUUUAAGAGAAUUGAUUUGGCUACCUAUGGAAAAGGUCGGGUGGUGAUUGCAGGGUCAGUAAACAAUGAUUUCGAGCCUUCAGAAAUUAACGGACCGACCGUCGGAUGGGAUGAGGCCCACGGGCCGAGAGAACGGGCGUGGGUGGCCCAUUAGCCGUGGACGGUC